AUGCUGAGAGUCAAGGAAGAAGGGAUGAUGAAGUCAAGGAAGGAAGGAUGUGGGAGGGAGGGAGGGAGGACAGUACUGGUAAUGGAGUUGAACUACUUUCUGGGGCCAAACUGGAGGUGGGAACCCUAUGCAUGACAUUAUGCCCUUGAAGUAAAGGCAAGAAUAGAAAACAAACAAGCAAUUAUGAAACGCAAAGCUUAUUUGAUUUGCAGAAUCUCCUCGACUUACGAGCAUUCCUUGAACAUCUGUUCAAAGUUACAACAGCACUGAAAAAAAGCAACUUAAGAACGGUCCUCACACUUACAACCACUGCAGUAGUCCCA